GACGAACGCUGGCGGCGUGCCUAAUACAUGCAAGUAGAACGCAGUUGCGAACGGGUGAGUAACGCGUAGGUAACUGCCUCAUAGCGGGGGAUAACUAUUGGAAACGAUAGCUAAUACCGCAUACUGUGAGAUGGACCUGCGUUGUAUUUGGUAGUUGGUGAGGUAAAGGCUCAACAAGGCGACGAUACAUAGCCGACCUGAGAGGGUGAUGGGGCACAAUGGGAAUGGUGAACGGGCCAGACUCCUAAGGGGGGCAGCAGUAGGGAAUCUUCGGAAAUGGACGGAAGGCUGAACGAGCAAAGCCGGGUGAGUGAAGAAGGUUUUCGGGUCGUAAAGCUCUGUUGUUAGAGAAGCGGUAACUAAACAGAAAGGGCCGGCUAACUACGUGCCAGCAGCCGCGGUAAUAC
rnacentral:rRNA from 1 species